rnacentral:misc_RNA from 1 species
UCUCCGUAGGUGAACCUGCGGAGGGAUCAUUACAGAGUUCAUGCCCUAACAGGUAGAUCUCCCACCCUAUGUUAUCAUCACUUUGUUGCUUUGGCGGGCCGUCAGGCCUCGGCUUGGCUACCGGCUCUCGCUGGUAAGCGCCCGCCAGAGAACCCCAAACCCUGAAUAUCAGUGUCGUCUGAGUACUAUAUAAUAGUUAAAACUUUCAACAACGGAUCUCUUGGUUCUG